UACGGAGGGAGCUAGCGUUGUUCGGAAUUACUGGGCGUAAAGCGCUCGUAGGCGGCUGUUCAAGUCGAACGUGAAAACUCGGGGCUCAACUCCGAGCCUGCGUUCGAUACUGGAUGGCUAGAGUCUGGUAGGGGGAUCUGGAAUUCCUGGUGUAGCGGUGGAAUGCGCAGAUAUCAGGAGGAACACCAAUUGCGAAGGCAGCUCGCUGGAACGUAACUGACGCUGAGACGCGAAAGCGUGGGGAGCAAACAGG
rnacentral:rRNA from 1 species